rnacentral:rRNA from 1 species
AUACGGAGGGUGCAAGCGUUGUCCGGAUUUAUUGGGUUUAAAGGGUGCGUAGGCGGCCCGUUAAGUCAGUGGUGAAAGGUAUCAGCUCAACUGAUGAAGUGCCAUUGAAACUAACGGGCUUGAGUACAGACGAGGUAGGCGGAAUUUAUGGUGUAGCGGUGAAAUGCAUAGAUACCAUAAAGAACACCGAUAGCGAAGGCAGCUUACUAGACUGUCACUGACGCUGAGGCACGAAAGCGUGGGGAGCAAACAGGAUUAGAUACCCCGGUAGUCC